AGAAGAAAGUGGAAUUGAUCUAGUGGUGGUCAGCCCCUCUUUCGUAGUAGGUCCUUUGCUCGCACCCCAACCAACCAGUACGCUGCAAAUGAUAUUGGCCAUUGUAAAAGGUCAACACUUGAGUAGCUAAUCUGUUAUAUAAUGACAUUAGAAUGCUGUGUUCUAUCUGAUUUUGUGUGAAAUGGUGGCUUACAUUAUCAGCUAUGUCCGCUAAUCUAUAAAUGACUGAGUUCAAUUAUUGAUGCCAUUGAUCAGGUCUGAUUAAAGAACACCCGAAUACAACAGUAGGGUUUGUGCAUAUAGAUGAUGUCGUUGCAGCACAUAUAUUAGCAAUGGAGGAAAGCAAAGCAUCAGGCAGACUGGUAUGUUCAAGCUCAGUAGCUCACUGGUCCGAGAUCAUUGAGAUGCUAAGGAACAAGUAUCCAGCCUACAACUACAUAAACAGGCAAGAGAAACAUUUUAUACUUUUCUGUCCUGUUUUUCCUCUUAUGGAACUGGCAUUUGUUAUUUGUUUUGACUUUACUCUCUGAAUCAACCAGAUUUUUUCUAUUGGUGCCGUAGUGUCUCUGAACUUGACCUUCUUCUUAUAUAGUCUUGAGUGUUUUGUUUUCCAUGUUUAGGUGUAGCAACACAAAAGGAGAUGAUAAUCCACACAGCAUGGACAGCAAUAAAAUCAUACAGCUUGGGCUCCCACCGCUGAAAUCCCUUGAUCAAAUGUUUGAGGACUGCAUCAGAAGCUUCCAAGAGAAGGGCUUCCUCUAAGAUCAACCAAAUCUUCUGAAACGCCCUCUCAAUUCAAAGAUCCUAUCCGCUAGGAGUACAUGUACUGAUUUACCGACUGUUCUUGAAUCAUAUUGUCCUGCUAAAACAUAUUUUAACCAUUCAAAUAUAUCAGUAUGCCAAAUAAUGCUGGCCUGCGAAGCCAGGCUCUUGAUCAAAAUAUUGUGCACGACUCAAACUUCAAUCACGGCAGUGCUUGUUAAAUUCCCAUGCUAAAGUAAUCUUCAUUCAAAUAAGUAAUAUCUUGACUGAAAUAAAAUCACCAGACAUUCCAAAAAUUCAAUUCGGUAGUAAUAAAUGCUCUGCUAUUAAACCAAUUUAAAGAGGCGAGUGCCAUACACGAACAGUACAGACGUAAGAAACAGCAUAGGCCUUCGAUUCUUGCAAUAUCCAAAUGUCCUCCAACUUUUGCUGAAUUAGCCUAAUAAAAAACCACGAUUAUCAACAAUUGGUAGGGAAAAAAAAAUAUAAUCUGAAUAUUAAAGUAGGAUAAAAAAAAAACUUCCAGAGGACUGAGCAAUCCUUAAUACUUGUCACAUUUUAAGAUUCUCUUGAAUGAAUUAUUGCAGCAUGGAGGGUGGUACAUAAGCAAUCCUUCAUUACUUUCUUGACCAAAACGGGGCUUUUGCAGUAUUGAAGCUCAUGGAAUGCAAACCUCAAAACAGGCAUUUCUCAAUCUUCAUACAAGAGAGCAAAAUGAGUUCAACAUUUGUAAAUUGCUACUUGGAGAGGAUCGAUUGCAGGUUAUUCUAGCAGGCCCAAAUGGUGUAAGGCCGUUAAGCGCCCCGACUUAUCAAGGGGAGCCCGAUGAAGAGUCUCAAUUGAUGAAAAUUAGUGCUAAUUAAUUAGUUAGUGUACUAAUACCCCCGUCAGCAAUCUGCAGAAACACACACACACUCUCUCUACUUAAAGGGGGAUCCACGACCUAAUCCAAAAGGCAUGCUGACUUUCAGGUUACACCAAGGACCUUAAGUAGAACACACGCACCGAAGACCUUAAUUAGUUGGUGUACUAAUACCCAAAAACAAGAUAUUAUUCACCCUUUCCCAUCCUCAACUGCUAGACCCAAGAUUGGACCUCUACACCUAACAACGGGAAGAACUUUAAGAACUCUCUCCUGACCACCAAAAUAACCCUAGUGAUUUUAUUAAAAUACAAGUUUAAUUACUCCUAAAGUAUAUAUAAAUCUCUCAGACUUAAACGGUAGUAGACUUCCUCGUAUAGCUUUUUAUAUGCUAAUAUUUAGGACAUGAUACUAUUUUUUUUUUUUUCUUUUCUAAGUUGUUGUUUUGUUAGGAGGAAGGGGAUGACUUAGAUGAUUUGGAGGGAGGAAUUAUAAGUGUAAGGUCUUGGAUUUAAGACCUUUCACUUAAACUAAAAAAAAAAAAAAGAGUAGGGAUUUACAAUUUUCUCUUUGAGUUUGAGGAAGCCGGGGGGGUUUCGGCUUUUGACCAUCUCCAUCACUGGCUAACAACUAGACGCAGAUGGACGCAUCUUAUCACAGAAUCAUAUUAGCGACUCAAUUAAGUGAAACUCAAAACUGAGAGAAUUCAUAUAUAU
rnacentral:lncRNA from 1 species